rnacentral:rRNA from 1 species
GAUGAACGCUGGCGGCGUGCCUAAUACAUGCAAGUCGAGCGAACGGACGAGAAGCUUGCUUUUCUGAUGUUAGCGGCGGACGGGUGAGUAACACGUGGAUAACCUACCUAUAAGACUGGGAUAACUUCGGGAAACCGGAGCUAAUACCGGAUAAUAUUUUGAACCGCAUGGUUCAAAAGUGAAAGACGGUCUUGCUGUCACUUAUAGAUGGAUCCGCGCUGCAUUAGCUAGUUGGUAAGGUAACGGCUUACCAAGGCAACGAUGCAUAGCCGACCUGAGAGGGUGAUCGGCCACACUGGAACUGAGACACGGUCCAGACUCCUACGGGAGGCAGCAGUAGGGAAUCUUCCGCAAUGGGCGAAAGCCUGACGGAAGCACGCCGCGUGAGUGAUGAAGGUCUUCGGAUCGUAAAACUCUGUUAUUAGGGAAGAACAUAUGUGUAAGUAACUGUGCACAUCUUGACGGUACCUAAUCAGAAAGCCACGGCUAACUACGUGCCAGCAGCCGCGGUAAUACGUAGGUGGCAAGCGUUAUCCGGAAUUAUUGGGCGUAAAGCGCGCGUAGCGGUUUUUUAGUCUGAUGUGAAAGCCCACGGCUCAACCGUGGAGGGUCAUUGGAAACUGGAAAACUUGAGUGCAGAAGAGGAAAGUGGAAUUCCAUGUGUAGCGGUGAAAUGCGCAGAGAUAUGGAGGAACACCAGUGGCGAAGGCGACUUUCUGGUCUGUAACUGACGCUGAUGUGCGAAAGCGUGGGGAUCAAACAGGAUUAGAUACCCUGGUAGUCCACGCCGUAAACGAUGAGUGCUAAGUGUUAGGGGGUUUCCGCCCCUUAGUGCUGCAGCUAACGCAUUAAGCACUCCGCCUGGGGAGUACGACCGCAAGGUUGAAACUCAAAGGAAUUGACGGGGACCCGCACAAGCGGUGGAGCAUGUGGUUUAAUUCGAAGCAACGCGAAGAACCUUACCAAAUCUUGACAUCCUUUGACAACUCUAGAGAUAGAGCCUUCCCCUUCGGGGGACAAAGUGACAGGUGGUGCAUGGUUGUCGUCAGCUCGUGUCGUGAGAUGUUGGGUUAAGUCCCGCAACGAGCGCAACCCUUAAGCUUAGUUGCCAUCAUUAAGUUGGGCACUCUAAGUUGACUGCCGGUGACAAACCGGAGGAAGGUGGGGAUGACGUCAAAUCAUCAUGCCCCUUAUGAUUUGGGCUACACACGUGCUACAAUGGACAAUACAAAGGGCAGCGAAACCGCGAGGUCAAGCAAAUCCCAUAAAGUUGUUCUCAGUUCGGAUUGUAGUCUGCAACUCGAUUACAUGAAGCUGGAAUCGCUAGUAAUCGUAGAUCAGCAUGCUACGGUGAAUACGUUCCCGGGUCU